AUACGGAGGGUGCAAGCGUUACUCGGAAUCACUGGGCGUAAAGCGCGCGCAGGCGGCUAUUUAAGUUGGAUGUGAAAGCCUACGGCUCAACCGUAGAACUGCAUCCAAAACUAUUUAGCUAGAGUGUGGGAGAGGAAGAUGGAAUUAGUUGUGUAGGGGUAAAAUCCGUAGAGAUAACUAGGAAUACCAAAAGCGAAGGCAAUCUUCUGGAACACUACUGACGCUGAGGCGCGAAAGCGUGGGGAGCAAACGGGAUUAGAGACCCCCUAGUCC
rnacentral:rRNA from 1 species